rnacentral:lncRNA from 1 species
UUCUGUAUAAUUUAAUGAUUUUAACAAUAUUGUUUAUAUUGAGAAACAUUUACAACAAGUUCAUGAAACUUUUUAACAAAUAAAAUCGGACUAUCUUUAAUUUUGUAAUACUUCCAAGUUGUGUAUCUGUAAAACUUAUAGCUGAUUUUACUUUCUAAAGAUAAACUUGACAAUUAUAUAUCAUAAACAUAUUUUUAUUAAUUAAAAUCUUUCUUCAAAUGAUAAACAUGUAAAUGAGAGUGAAGUGUUCAUGCUAUUAUCAAUAGUUACAAUAUUAAUGUGAUGUUACUUAAAGAGUUGUGCAAGUCUCCUGACUAAAUAUGUUCAAAACAUUAAUGUAUGAUUAUUUUUUUUACAUAAAAUAUACUAUGUAAUUGACAUUUCCCUUUUUACAGUAUUUUGUUUUUUUAUUUGUGUUAAAAUUAAUGUCUGCCUAAGAACGAUUAAUGCCAAGGUAUCUGAUGUGUCUAAUUGCUUUAAUUUGCUCGGAGUUUUCCUAUGAAGGUUAAAAUAGAAAAAAAAAAAUUUUCUUACUCGUAAACAAUUAUAACAUAUUCAUUCCACUGUGGGAAAUCAUUUACAAACAUACAUUUCGACAUACUGAUUUUAGAAAAGUUUAAAUAAUCAUAAUCUGAAUGAAUCGUCGAAAAAGACUUACAUAAAUUGUAUAUGAAUAAAAAAAAAACUAUAAAUUAUAAAGUAUAUUAAUUAUAUUUGUGACAAUAUACAAAUAACAUAAAACCUGGGAAUGGAAUAUAUAUAACUUAUAACACCCUUGGUGGAGGAGGGUUUACUAACUUUACAACCGCAGCACUGUUUAUAAGUUCAAAGAAUUUUUAAUGUGCCUGAGUGACUUAAUUAAAAGACAUGUUGAGUCUAAUGUUGCAUAUAUUAUUGUGUGUGUUAUAAACAUAAAAUCGUUUUAUAUCAUUAAAAAAUUCCAAUACAUAUAUAAAACUGAAUACAGUAAAGUAACCAGUUGGAAUGUACAGAGUAUUGGAUCCAAAGGAUAUGUGGAUUUUCAAUUAUCAACAUGACUAGCAGGAAGCUAUAACAACAGAAAAUGCCCUUGUUACCAAAUCAAACAGAGUUCAUUACACAUGGAAAUAUCAAGCGUCUGCUAUAGCUAAAUAUGAAAUCUAAGUUUUAAUAUCAAACAGAAGAUUCAUUUAUCUACUACUUCUAAAUAUUGCACACAUUUAGCAUAAUAAAUAAAUGGGAUUUUCAACACAUAUAAAAUUUAAGCAGCUAAAACUAUUCCCCAUAAACCUUUUGGUACAAGAUGCCCUAAAUUAGCUUAACACAUGUGGAUAUAACUUGUUGAAGAGAUAAAUUUGUCCUUAUCUGAACCAGCUCCAUCUUUAAUUUUCUCUUUUCAAAUCAUUGAACUUUUAAUUUAAAUGAAAUUGGAUCUCCAUUUAAGUUAUCCUUAAAAAGAGUACUAUCUGAUCCAUUAUCAAUGAAAAGAGAUCGAAAUUGUGGAGCGUGUUCUUGACAAAGUUAAUCUGUCUAGGUAAAUAGGUUAGUGUUGUGAUAACACACGAGCGAGUAUUAACUCAGAAUAAAUAGAUCACAGAGAACACAUGAAAACAGAAAACUGUUUGAAGUUGAGAUUUAACAUUUCAAAUAUAUAUAAGUCAUAAUAGUCAUGCCAUUGGUAGAAGUUGGACACACUUUUUAAUGACGAAACUGUUGUCAUUUGUGCAGUCAAAUGGGGUCUACAACAUCAUGAUAAAAAUGUUAUUAGUAUACGAUUUUUUAUAAGAAACAAAUUCAUAGAUUUUUUUUUUUUGCUUUAAUUAAGGAUGUACUUAAGGUAGGU